GCCAGGCAAAGUGGCGCAUGCCUGUAGUCCUAGCUACUCCGGAGCUAAGUUGGGAGGAUAGUUUGAGCCCAGGAGUUCUGGGCUGUAGUGCACUAUGACGACUGGGUGUCCACACUAAGUUUGGCAUCAAUGUCGUGACCUCCUGGGAGCGGGGUCCACAGGUUGCCUAAGGAGGGGUUAACCAGCCCAGGUUGGAAACGGAGCAGGUCAAAACUCCUGUGCUGAUCAGUAGUGGGAUUGCGCCUGUGAGUAGCCACUGCACUCCAGCCUGGGCAACAUAGCAAGACCCUGUCUCC
rnacentral:SRP_RNA from 1 species